CCUACGGUGGCUGCAGUGGGGAAUAUUGGACAAUGGGCGAAAGCCUGAUCCAGCCAUGCCGCGUGUGUGAAGAAGGCCUUCGGGUUGUAAAGCACUUUCAGUGGGGAAGAAAGCCUUGGGGCUAAUACCCUCGAGGAAGGACAUCACCCACAGAAGAAGCACCGGCUAACUCCGUGCCAGCAGCCGCGGUAAUACGGAGGGUGCGAGCGUUAAUCGGAAUUACUGGGCGUAAAGCGCGCGUAGGCGGUCUGAUAAGCCGGUUGUGAAAGCCCCGGGCUCAACCUGGGAACGGCAUCCGGAACUGUCAGGCUAGAGUGCAGGAGAGGAAGGUAGAAUUCCCGGUGUAGCGGUGAAAUGCGUAGAGAUCGGGAGGAAUACCAGUGGCGAAGGCGGCCUUCUGGACUGACACUGACGCUGAGGUGCGAAAGCGUGGGUAGCAAACAGGAUUAGAUACCCUAUAGUC
rnacentral:rRNA from 1 species